CAGUUUUUGGAACCAAAAUAUGGCUAUUUUCACUGUAAAGAUUGUAAGACCAGAUGGGAGAGUGCUUAUGUGUGGUGCAUUUCUGGAACUAAUAAGGUUUAUUUCAAACAACUAUGUUGCAAAUGCCAAAAGAGUUUUAACCCUUAUCGAGUAGAAGCAAUCCAAUGUCAGACCUGUUCAAAGUCUCGUUGUUCCUGUCCUCAAAAGAAAAGACACAUUGAUCUAAGGAGGCCUCAUCGACAGGAACUGUGUGGUCGCUGCAAAGACAAGAGAUUCUCCUGUGGCAAUACUUACAGCUUUAAAUACAUCAUGUGACAGGCAGUAUAAAUUGUACAGGACACUCAAGUCUCCUUGUAACUCACUGUACUGUUCCUUUUUUGCAACUUAGCUCUGAGCUGAUAUUGGAAAAUGGAUUAGGCUUUUGUACUUUUUGUAGGUUGUAUAACAAUUGUACAAUGUGAGUGGAAUAAAAUAAAUGCAUGUAAAAUAGA